rnacentral:rRNA from 1 species
UACGUAGGGGGCAAGCGUUGUCCGGAAUCAUUGGGCGUAAAGAGCGCGUAGGCGGCCCUGUAAGUCCGCUGUGAAAGUCAAGGGCUCAACCCUUGGAUGCCGGUGGAUACUGCAGGGCUAGAGUCCGGAAGAGGCGAGUGGAAUUCCUGGUGUAGCGGUGAAAUGCGCAGAUAUCAGGAGGAACACCUAUUGCGAAGGCAGCUCGCUGGGACGUAACUGACGCUGAGACGCGAAAGCGUGGGGAGCAAACAGG